UAUGUCGAAUCAAUUGUGCAGGCAUCGUGGUUUUAUUGUGGAAUAAUCUAUUAUUGCGAGCAAGCCAAAGCUUCCACACAAAGCAUGCUCCGAACUCCCUCCAGGAUCCGUGUUGCUGGAGUGGACAAGGUCCCUCAAUGAAUGGGGGACAACGGACGGUAUUCCCUCACCUUGUAUCAGCUCCCAGCAAUCAUGAGCAAAGGGGCAAGAAAACAGGACAUGAUCAGAGUCUUCGACACCAAAACGGCAUAGAUCACAAUGACUAUGAUCAGGUGAAAGUAUGCUCCUAUUAACCAAAUGGCUCCUGCAUGGUAACCGAUCCCACAA
rnacentral:lncRNA from 1 species